AUGGUUAAGUUAGAAAGGGCGCACGGUGGAUGCCUUGGCACUAGGAGCCGAAGAAGGACGGGACUAACACCGAUAUGCUUUGGGGAGCUGUACGUAAGCGUUGAUCCAGAGAUUUCCGAAUGGGGGAACCCACUAUCUUUAGUCGGAUAGUAUCCUUACGUGAAUACAUAGCGUAAGGAAGGCAGACCCAGGGAACUGAAACAUCUAAGUACCUGGAGGAAGAGAAAGAAAAAUCGAUUUCCUGAGUAGCGGCGAGCGAAACGGAAAGAGCCCAAACCAAGAAGCUUGCUUCUUGGGGUUGUAGGACACUCUAUACGGAGUUACAAAGGAAUGUGGUAAACGAAGUGGUCUGGAAAGGCCCGCCAAAGAAGGUAACAGCCCUGUAAUUGAAAGCAUAUUCCCUCCAGAGUGGAUCCUGAGUACGGCGGAACACGUGAAAUUCCGUCGGAAUCCGGGAGGACCAUCUCCCAAGGCUAAAUACUCCCUAGUGACCGAUAGUGAACCAGUACCGUGAGGGAAAGGUGAAAAGCACCCCGGAAGGGGAGUGAAACAGUUCCUGAAACCGUGUGCCUACAAGUAGUUAGAGCCCGUUUAUGGGUGAUAGCGUGCCUUUUGUAGAAUGAACCGGCGAGUUACGAUUUGUUGCAAGGUUAAGCGGAAAAAGCGGAGCCGUAGCGAAAGCGAGUCUGAAUAGGGCGCAUGAGUAACAGGUCGUAGACCCGAAACCAGGUGAUCUACCCAUGUCCAGGAUGAAGGUGAGGUAAUACUCACUGGAGGUCCGAACCCACGCACGUUGAAAAGUGCGGGGAUGAGGUGUGGGUAGCGGAGAAAUUCCAAUCGAACCUGGAGAUAGCUGGUUCUCUCCGAAAUAGCUUUAGGGCUAGCCUCGAGGUAAAGAGUCGUGGAGGUAGAGCACUGUUUGGACUAGGGGCCCUUCUCGGGUUACCGAAUUCAGAUAAACUCCGAAUGCCAUGUACUUAUACUCGGGAGUCAGACUGCGAGUGAUAAGAUCCGUAGUCGAAAGGGAAACAGCCCAGACCACCAGUUAAGGUCCCAAAAUAUAUGUUAAGUGGAAAAGGAUGUGGGGUUGCAUAGACAACCAGGAUGUUGGCUUAGAAGCAGCCACCAUUGAAAGAGUGCGUAAUAGCUCACUGGUCGAGUGACCCCGCGCCGAAAAUGUACCGGGGCUAAACAUAUUACCGAAACUGUGGAUGAACCUCUU
rnacentral:rRNA from 1 species